rnacentral:rRNA from 1 species
UGGGGAAUUUUGGACAAUGGGCGCAAGCCUGAUCCAGCCAUGCCGCGUGUGUGAAGAAGGUCUUCGGAUUGUAAAGCACUUUAAGUUGGGAGGAAGGGCAGUAACCUAAUACGUUGCUGUCUUGACGUUACCGACAGAAUAAGCACCGGCUAACUCUGUGCCAGCAGCCGCGGUAAUACAGAGGGUGCAAGCGUUAAUCGGAAUUACUGGGCGUAAAGCGCGCGUAGGUGGUUUGUUAAGUUGGAUGUGAAAUCCCCGGGCUCAACCUGGGAACUGCAUUCAAAACUGACAAGCUAGAGUAUGGUAGAGGGUGUGGAAUUUCCUGUGUAGCGGUGAAAUGCGUAGAUAUAGGAAGGAACACCAGUGGCGAAGGCGACCACCUGGACUGAUACUGACACUGAGGUGCGAAAGCGUGGGGAGCAAACAGGAUUAGAUACCCCAGUAGUCCCUGAG